GCCGGCUUCGCUCAGUUGGUGGAGCAACUGAUUUGCCAUCCGCAGGUCAACGGUGCGAGUCCGUUAGCCGGCUCCA
rnacentral:tRNA from 1 species